ensembl:lncRNA
GAGGCAGCUGUAAACAUGAAGGUCUAGAAACGAGGCAGCUGUAAACAUGAAGGUCUAGAAACGAGGCAGCUGUUAACAUGAAGGAUUCUACUGUUGGAGUGUCCAGAGAGGAGACACACACACACACACACACACACACACACUGGUUUCUUCUCACACAGGUUGCUAAAAAUACUGUUGUUUUGGUUUGUGCACUGAAAGCCCCUGUCACUGAGGAAUGGACUGAACUGGGGGGUCGGCCGUGUAGCUGGAAGUCCCACAUCCUACAGAGAGAGUGUCUGUCAACUGAACUGUAAACUACACAUUCCAACCCUACACUACACUGGCAGCCUUGGGCUAACAAAGGACAGUUGGACUGUAGUGUGUAGUGUGUGUAUGUGUAGGGUGAGUAUAGUGUGUGUGUGUGUGUGUAGUGUGAGUAUAGUGUAGUGUGUGUGUGGUGUAUAAUGUAGUGUGUAGGGUGUAGUGUGUAGUGUAGUGUAGUGUGUAGGGUGUAGUGUAGUGUGUAGGGUGUAGGGUGUAGUGUAGUGUAGUGUGUAGGGUGUAGGGUGUAGGGUGUAGUGUAGUGUGUAGUGUGUAGUGUAGUGUAGUGUGUAGUGUAGUGUAUGUAGUGUAGUGUAGUGUAGUGUGUAGUGUGUAGUGUAGUGUGUAGUGUAGUGUAAUGUGUAGUGUAGUGUGUAGUGUAGUGUAGUGUAGUGUAGUGUGUAGGGUGUAGGGUGUAGUGUGUAGGGUGUAGGGUGUAGUGUAGUGUAGUGUGUAGUGUGUAGUGUAGUGUAGUGUGUAGUGUAGUGUGUAGUGUAGUGUAGUGUGUAGUGUAGUGUAGUGUGUAGUGUAGUGUAGUGUAGUGUAAUGUGUAGUGUAGUGUGUAGUGUGUAGUGUGUAGUGUAGUGUAAUGUGUAGUGUAGUGUGUAGUGUGUAGUGUGGUGGUGUGUUUUUAUCUGGAGAUAGUUAUGUCAAGUGGGACAGGAGAUUCAGUUGUAUUAGUUCCAUAUGAAUGUGUUUGGAGCGAUGGAAGGGAAGAGAACAGAGAAGAGGAGGGAAGAGAACAGAGAAGAGGAGGGAAGAGGAGGGAGAAGAGGAGGGAAGAGAAGAGAAGAGAAGAGAAGAGAAGAGAAGAGAAGAGAAGAGAAGAGAAGAGAAGAGAAGAGAAGAGGAGGGAAUAGAAGAGAAGAGGAGGGAAGAGAAGGGAGAAGAGGAGGGAAGAGAAGAGAAGAGAAGAGAAGAGAAGAGGAGGGAAGGGGAGGGAAGGGUGAGAAGAGGAGGGAAGGGGAGGGAAGGGUGAGAAGAGGAGGGAAGAGAAGGGAGAAGAGGAGGGAAGAGAAGGGAGAAGAGGAGGGAGAGAGAAGA